AUUAAGCCCCUGCGCGACGUCAACUUGCUUAACCCCCCAGGGCCGGAAGGCAGCAAGGGUCGGCGAGCUCUGACGGGUGUGCAGGGGUCUUUAGUU
rnacentral:SRP_RNA from 1 species